rnacentral:rRNA from 1 species
GUGGGGAAUAUUCCGCAAUGGACGAAAGUCUGACGGAGCAACGCCGCGUGAGUGAUGAAGGUUUUCGGACUGUAAAGCUCUGUUGUUUAGGACGAAAGUGCCUGUUGCGAACAGUUACAGGUAUUGACGGUACUGAACGAGGAAGCCACGGCUAACUACGUGCCAGCAGCCGCGGUAAUACGUAGGUGGCAAGCGUUGUCCGGAAUUAUUGGGCGUAAAGAGCAUGUAGGCGGGAAUCUAAGUCUGUUGUGAAAAUGCGGGGCUCAACCCCGUAUGGCGAUGGAAACUGGAUUUCUUGAGUGCAGGAGAGGAAAGGGGAAUUCCCAGUGUAGCGGUGAAAUGCGUAGAUAUUGGGAGGAACACCAGUGGCGAAGGCGCCUUUCUGGACUGUGUCUGACGCUGAGAUGCGAAAGCCAGGGUAGCGAACGGGAUUAGAAACCCGUGUAGUCC